UACGGGGGGGGCAAGCGUUGUUCGGAAUUACUGGGCGUAAAGGGCUCGUAGGCGGCCAACUAAGUCGGAUGUGAAAUCCCCAGGCUUAACCUGGGAACUGCAUCCGAUACUGGAUGGCUUGAAUCCGGGAGAGGGAUGCAGAAUUCCGGGUGUAGUGGUGGAAUGCGUAGAGAUCCGGAGGAACACCAGCGGCGAAGGCGGCAUCCUGGACUGGUCCUGACACUCAGGAGCGAAAGGCGUGGGGAGCGAUCCGG
rnacentral:rRNA from 1 species